GUAGGUGGCAAGCGUUGUCCGGAAUUAUUGGGCGUAAAGCGCGCGCAGGCGGUUCUUUAAGUCUGAUGUGAAAGCCCACGGCUCGACCGUGGAGGGUCAUUGGAAACUGGAGAACUUGAGUACAGAAGAGGAAAGCGGAAUUCCACGUGUAGCGGUGAAAUGCGUAGAGAUGUGGAGGAACACCAGUGGCGAAGGCGGCUUUCUGGUCUGUAACUGACGCUGAGGCGCGAAAGCGUGGGGAGCAAACAGGAUUAGAUACCCUGGUAGUCCACGCCGUAAACGAUGAGUGCUAAGUGUUAGGGGGGUUUCCGCCCCCCUUAGUGCUGCAGCUAACGCAUUAAGCACUCCGCCUGGGAGUACGGCCGCAAGGCUG
rnacentral:rRNA from 1 species